UACGAGUGCUUCGAGCGUUAUCCGGAAUCAUUGGGCGUAAAGAGCGUGUAGGCGGUCCGGUAAGUCGGCUGUGAAAGUCCAUGGCUCAACCCUGGGAUGCCGGUCGAUACUGCCGGACUAGAGUUCGGAAGAGGCGAGUGGAAUUCCCGGUGUAGCGGUGAAAUGCGCAGAUAUCGGGAGGAACACCUAUGGCGAAGGCAGCUCGCUGGGACGUUACUGACGCUGAGACGCGAAAGCGUGGGGAGCAAACAGG
rnacentral:rRNA from 1 species